GAGCCUGCACUGCUUCAAUCACCCUGAUCAGACUAAACCAUUAGUUACAUAGCUGAAAAGAGACUUGUGUCCAAGUUCAGCCUUUCUCACAUGUUUUUGCUGUUGAUCCAAAAGAAGGCAAAAAGACCCAGUCUGAAGCACUUCCAAUUUUGCAACAAACUAGGAAAUUCCUUCUUGAACCCAAAAUAGCAGUCAGAUGUCUCCUUGGAUAAAUCCGCUAUUGCCUCAUUAAUUAGAAAUUAUAUCCUUGAAUGUAAAACCUUUUCUUUGCCUUAGAUCAAAUCUCCUUUCUUCCAGCCUAAAUGUGUGACCUUGUGUCCUAUGUAUGGCCCUGUUUAUGAAUAGAUUUCCAGAUAAUGGUUUGUACUGGUCCUGAAUAUAUUUAUAUAAUGCUAUCAUAUCCCCUCUCAGGUGCCGUUUUUCCAAACCAAACAGAUUUAAAUUUUUUUUUUUUUUACCUUUCUUCAUAACUAAAAUACUCCAUUCCUUUUAUCAAUUUUGUAGCUAGUCUCUGCACUUUUUGUAGUGCUAUGAUAUCCUUUGAAACAGGUGCCCCAAAUUGCACAGCAUAUUCAAGGUGUGGGUCUUACCAGCGAUUUAGAAAGAGGCCAAAUUAUAUUUUCAUCCCGAGAAUUUAUGCCCCUAUUUAUACAUGACAAAAUCUUACUGGCCUUAGCAACAACUGCAGACUGACAUUGCAUAUUGCUGCCUAAUUUGUCUAACAUUCCCAAGUCCUUCACGUGUGUGUGGUUAUCCCUAGUUCACUAUCAGUUAGGGUGUAAAUUGCUUGUGCAUUCUUAACACCGAAGUGCAUAACUUUGCAUUUCUCUACGUUAACUUUCAUUUGCCAUUUUAGUGCCCAGUCCUCCAAUCGAUCCAAAUCACUCUGCAGCAAAGAAAUAUCCUGCUCACAUUUUAUUACUUUACAAAGUUUUGUCAUCUGCAAACACUGAUACAUGGCUUUCAAUGCCUAUUUCAAGAUCAUUUAAAAAUGUUUAAAUACAAGCUGUCAUGCCAAAAGCAUGAGUUGGUGUUUGUGUGAUAUAUGUUAAGAGUUGUCUUUUUUGUUUUUUUUUGGUAAACCUUGUGAUGACAUUUAUUGUGGUCUUAGAUCUUGCACCAGGCAUAGACCAUAAAACAUCUAGAUGGCCA